AACGCACAUUGCGCCCUCUGGUAUUCCGGAGGGCAUGCCUGUUUGAGCGUCAUUUCUCUCUCAAAACUUCGGUUUUGGUAUUGAGUGAUACUCUCUUCUGGGUUAACUUGAAAUAGUGAAUUUGGCAAGAGUGUGCUUUUGUGGCCUCUUGACUGAGAUAAUGUAUUAGGUUCUACCAACUCGUUAUAGCAGUUUGAGAAAGUCCUCUGGCAUAUAUAGCUCGGCCUAACAACCAUUCUAAAAGUUUGACCUCAAAUCAGGUAGGAUUACCCGCUGAACUUAA
rnacentral:misc_RNA from 1 species